rnacentral:misc_RNA from 1 species
AACGCACGAGACCUGCGGACCUGCGGAAGGAUCAUUACCGAGUUAGGGUAGUCACUCACUGCCCGACCUCCCAACCCUGUGUCUACCACACUUUGUCGUUGCUUCGGCGGACCGGUUGACCAACUGGUCGUGACCGCCGGGGGCUGGCUCUGUCCCCCCUGGAGAGCGUCCGUCGAUGGCCCAACCACAAAACUCUUGUACCGAAACGUGUCGUCUGAAUUAUAUUUGAGAAAUCAAAAA